ACGCUAGCUACAGGCUUAACACAUGCAAGUCGAGGGGCAGCAUGGUCUUAGCUUGCUAAGGCCGAUGGCGACCGGCGCACGGGUGAGUAACACGUAUCCAACCUGCCGUCUACUCUUGGACAGCCUUCUGAAAGGAAGAUUAAUACAAGAUGGCAUCAUGAGUCCGCAUGUUCACAUGAUUAAAGGUAUUCCGGUAGACGAUGGGGAUGCGUUCCAUUAGAUAGUAGGCGGGGUAACGGCCCACCUAGUCUUCGAUGGAUAGGGGUUCUGAGAGGAAGGUCCCCCACAUUGGAACUGAGACACGGUCCAAACUCCUACGGGAGGCGGCAGUGAGGAAUAUUGGUCAAUGGGCGAGAGCCUGAACCAGUCAAGUAGCGUGAAGGAUGACUGCCCUAUGGGUUGUAAACUUCUUUUAUAAAGGAAUAAAGUCGGGUAUGGAUACCCGUUUGCAUGUACUUUAUGAAUAAGGAUCGGCUAACUCCGUGCCAGCAGCCGCGGUAAUACGGAGGAUCCGAGCGUUAUCCGGAUUUAUUGGGUUUAAAGGGAGCGUAGAUGGAUGUUUAAGUCAGUUGUGAAAGUUUGCGGCUCAACCGUAAAAUUGCAGUUGAUACUGGAUAUCUUGAGUGCAGUUGAGGCAGGCGGAAUUCGUGGUGUAGCGGUGAAAUGCUUAGAUAUCACGAAGAACUCCGAUUGCGAAGGCAGCCUGCUAAGCUGCAACUGACAUUGAGGCUCGAAAGUGUGGGUAUCAAACAGGAUUAGAUACCCUGGUAGUCCACACGGUAAACGAUGAAUGCUCGCUGUUUGCGAUAUACUGCAAGCGGCCAAGCGAAAGCGUUAAGUAUUCCACCUGGGGAGUACGCCGGCAACGGUGAAACUCAAAGGAAUUGACGGGGGCCCGCACAAGCGGAGGAACAUGUGGUUUAAUUCGAUGAUACGCGAGGAACCUUACCCGGGCUUAAAUUGCAGAUGAAUUACGGUGAAAGCCGUAAGCCGCAAGGCAUCUGUGAAGGUGCUGCAUGGUUGUCGUCAGCUCGUGCCGUGAGGUGUCGGCUUAAGUGCCAUAACGAGCGCAACCCUUGUUGUCAGUUACUAACAGGUUCCGCUGAGGACUCUGACAAGACUGCCAUCGUAAGAUGUGAGGAAGGUGGGGAUGACGUCAAAUCAGCACGGCCCUUACGUCCGGGGCUACACACGUGUUACAAUGGGGGGUACAGAGGGCCGCUACCACGCGAGUGGAUGCCAAUCCCCAAAACCUCUCUCAGUUCGGACUGGAGUCUGCAACCCGACUCCACGAAGCUGGAUUCGCUAGUAAUCGCGCAUCAGCCACGGCGCGGUGAAUACGUUCCCAGGCCUUGUACACACCGCCCGUCAAGCCAUGGGAGCCGGGGGUACCUGAAGUGCGUAACCGCGAGGAGCGCCCUAGGGUAAAACUGGUGACUGGGGC
rnacentral:rRNA from 1 species